UGUCUCCUACGGGGGGCAGCAGUGGGGAAUAUUGCGCAAUGGGCGAAAGCCUGACGCAGCGACGCCGCGUGAGGGAAGAAGGUCUUCGGAUCGUAAACCUCUGUCAGGAGGGAAGAAGUUUCAUAUUGCUAAUCAGGUAUGAAUUGACGGUACCUCCAGAGGAAGCACCGGCUAACUCCGUGCCAGCAGCCGCGGUAAUACGGAGGGUGCAAGCGUUAAUCGGAAUUACUGGGCGUAAAGCGCUCGUAGGCUGUUAUGUAAGUCAGAGGUGAAAUGCCAGGGCUCAACCGUGGAACUGCCUUUGA
rnacentral:rRNA from 1 species